rnacentral:rRNA from 1 species
GAUGAACGCUGGCGGCGUGCCUAAUACGUGCAAGUCGAGCGAACGGACGAGAAGCUUGCUUCUCUGAUGUUAGCGGCGGACGGGUGAGUAACACGUGGAUAACCUACUUAUAAGACUGGGAUAACUUCGGGAAACCGGAGCUAAUACCGGAUGAUAUUUUGAACCGCAUGGUUCAAAAGUGAAAGACGGUCUUGCUGUCACUAAUAGAUGGAUCCGCGCUGCAUUAGCUAGUUGGUAAGGUAACGGCUUACCAAGGCAACGAUGCAUAGCCGACCUGAGAGGGUGAUCGGCCACACUGGAACUGAGACACGGUCCAGACUCCUACGGGAGGCAGCAGUAGGGAAUCUUCCGCAAUGGGCGAAAGCCUGACGGAGCAACGCCGCGUGAGUGAUGAAGGUCUUCGGAUCGUAAAACUCUGUUAUUAGGGAAGAACAUAUGUGUAAGUAACUGUGCACAUCUUGACGGUACCUAAUCAGAAAGCCACGGCUAACUACGUG